rnacentral:lncRNA from 1 species
UGCUUGGCACACUCCGCGAAACCAACUAAAACCGAAUUAAGUUCUGGGCAAAUGGCCAGUAAUGGCAACUUCGACCUUCAAACCCAUUUGUCAAUGUACGGUGCCAGCGCUGCAUACAACAGACCAUGUCGUGUCAUCCUUUGCGCCCGUGUGCAUUGGCGGCACGUGACCUGAACCCAAACCUAUUUAUAACGUCGAACUACAGCCCCACGGCAUCAGAGCACCUCCGCUGUAGCAGCCGCCUGUGGGGGAUCCGAAAUGGAGUUCAAGAGCGAUUCCUCCUCCGACAUCAGAGCGUUCCCGCUGGCGCCGCCGCCAACCCUACCGCUGCCGACGCCGCUGUCUGCAGCACCAGUGUGUUUUCGGGACAUAGCUCCAGCUGCGG